rnacentral:rRNA from 1 species
UACAGAGGUCUCAAGCGUUGUUCGGAUUCAUUGGGCGUAAAGGGUGCGUAGGUGGCGCCGUAAGUCAGGUGUGAAAUUUCGGAGCUUAACUCCGAAACUGCAUUUGAUACUGCGGCGCUUGAGGACUGGAGAGGAGACUGGAAUUACGGUGUAGCAGUGAAAUGCGUAGAUAUCGUAAGGAAGACCAGUGGCGAAGGCGGGUCUCUGGACAGUUC